GCCAUGCUGAUCGGUGCCUCCGCGCGGCGCAUGGCGGACAACGGAAUGUUUCCGGCAAAACCGAUC
rnacentral:ribozyme from 1 species